AAAAGUGGCAUAGUAAGGAUUCGAUCCUCUGCCCCACCGCCACUGCUAUCGCUCCGUAGCCGAGCGCGCUGACAACGGCGCCACCAUUUAAUUGUGUCAGCAU
rnacentral:lncRNA from 1 species